AACGAACGCUGGCGGCAUGCCUAACAUAUGCAAGUCGAACGGGAAGCAUUGACUUCGGUUGAUGUGGAGAGUGGCGAACGGGUGAGUAACGCGUAGAUAAUCUACCCUGGAGUCUGGGAUAACUUUUCGAAAGGGAAGCUAAUACCGGAUAAUAGUUUUGAAUGAGUGUUCAGGAUUUGAAAGUUCCGGCGCUCCGGGAUGAGUCUGCGUUCCAUUAGCUAGUUGGUGGGGUAAAAGCCUACCAAGGCGACGAUGGAUAGCGGGUCUGAGAGGAUGAUCCGCCACACUGGCACUGAGACACGGGCCAG
rnacentral:rRNA from 1 species